GAGCUAAUAGUUGAGUAAUACAAUAUGGGAUUGCAAGUCCUAAGGAGCAGGCUCUGUUCAAGUC
rnacentral:tRNA from 1 species